UCUUUUUAUUUUAUUAUCUUUUUAUAUGCCAAAUUGAAAAAUAUGUCUGAUAGAGAAGUCACCCAGAUUGAGUAUAUGAUUCAUUGAGAGCUCUUAAAUUUCCCAGAUGUUAUUUCUCAACAAUUAUCAUAUCAUUAUAUAAUGAGGAAGAUAAACUUCUCCAUGGCCAGGAUAUCAUGAUGUUAUGGUUAUGGGAAAGUUAAAUGUAUAAUCACUUUGGCAUGUGAUUUCUUCAUAUUUCUACAAGUUGUCUUUCAAUUCUACAUUAAUUAUAGUCAAAUAUAUUUUUUGGGGGAAGAUACAGCAGAUGCGAUUUUUUUUUUGUCUUUGAUUUCUGUCUUGAGAGCCCACAGCUUUGAUGCAUUCUUGAAACAACUUUAAUAAAGCAAUGUGUUUUAUUCCCUGUUUAAUAAAAUAAAGCCAGCAGGGUGUCUUACUUUCAGAAAUGUUUGAUAAAGUAUCCCCCUCAGUGAGCUGAGAGAAAAAGCAAUGGAGUCUUUUUUCAUUUUAUGAGCUCUAGGAUGCAAAGUUCCUAAGUAUAAUUCAUUGUUCUUUAUGUGACCUUCUCACAACAUCGAGUUUUCUCUCUUCUAGUUCUUUUGAAUAAUUCUCACAGUUCCUGGUGAGCUGCUAAUCAGUUUAGCCUGUGAAAUCUAGGAUGGAACAAAGUAUG
rnacentral:lncRNA from 1 species